AGGUAGCUUGCUACUGAUCUUAGCGGCGGACGGGUGAGUAAUGCUUAGGAAUCUGCCUAUUAGUGGGGGACAACAUUUCGAAAGGAAUGCUAAUACCGCAUACGUCCUACGGGAGAAAGCAGGGGAUCUUCGGACCUUGCGCUAAUAGAUGAGCCUAAGUCGGAUUAGCUAGUUGGUGGGGUAAAGGCCUACCAAGGCGACGAUCUGUAGCGGGUCUGAGAGGAUGAUCCGCCACACUGGGACUGAGACACGGCCCAGAUCCUACGGGAGGCAGCAGUGGGGAAUAUUGGACAAUGGGCGCAAGCCUGAUCCAGCCAUGCCGCGUGUGUGAAGAAGGCCUUAUGGUUGUAAAGCACUUUAAGCGAGGAGGAGGCUACUUUAGUUAAUACCUAGAGAUAGUGGACGUUACUCGCAGAAUAAGCACCGGCUAACUCUGUGCCAGCAGCCGCGGUAAUACAGAGGGUGCAAGCGUUAAUCGGAUUUACUGGGCGUAAAGCGCGCGUAGGCGGCUAAUUAAGUCAAAUGUGAAAUCCCCGAGCUUAACUUGGGAAUUGCAUUCGAUACUGGUUAGCUAGAGUGUGGGAGAGGAUGGUAGAAUUCCAGGUGUAGCGGUGAAAUGCGUAGAGAUCUGGAGGAAUACCGAUGGCGAAGGCAGCCAUCUGGCCUAACACUGACGCUGAGGUGCGAAAGCAUGGGGAGCAAACAGGAUUAGAUACCCUGGUAGUCCAUGCCGUAAACGAUGUCUACUAGCCGUUGGGGCCUUUGAGGCUUUAGUGGCGCAGCUAACGCGAUAAGUAGACCGCCUGGGGAGUACGGUCGCAAGACUAAAACUCAAAUGAAUUGACGGGGGCCCGCACAAGCGGUGGAGCAUGUGGUUUAAUUCGAUGCAACGCGAAGAACCUUACCUGGCCUUGACAUAGUAAGAACUUUCCAGAGAUGGAUUGGUGCCUUCGGGAACUUACAUACAGGUGCUGCAUGGCUGUCGUCAGCUCGUGUCGUGAGAUGUUGGGUUAAGUCCCGCAACGAGCGCAACCCUUUUCCUUAUUUGCCAGCGAGUAAUGUCGGGAACUUUAAGGAUACUGCCAGUGACAAACUGGAGGAAGGCGGGGACGACGUCAAGUCAUCAUGGCCCUUACGGCCAGGGCUACACACGUGCUACAAUGGUCGGUACAAAGGGUUGCUACCUAGCGAUAGGAUGCUAAUCUCAAAAAGCCGAUCGUAGUCCGGAUUGGAGUCUGCAACUCGACUCCAUGAAGUCGGAAUCGCUAGUAAUCGCGGAUCAGAAUGCCGCGGUGAAUACGUUCCCGGGCCUUGUACACACCGCCCGUCACACCAUGGGAGUUUGUUGCACCAGAAGUAGCUAGCCUAACUGCAAAGAGGGCG
rnacentral:rRNA from 1 species